rnacentral:rRNA from 1 species
UACGGGGGGGGCAAGCGCUGUUCGGAAUUACUGGGCGUAAAGGGCUCGUAGGCGGCCAACUAAGUCGGAUGUGAAAUCCCCAAGCUUAACUUGGGAACUGCAUCCGAUACUGGAUGGCUUGAAUCCGGGAGAGGGAUGCAGAAUUCCAGGUGUAGCGGUGAAAUGCGUAGAUAUCUGGAGGAAUACCGGUGGCGAAGGCGGCAUCCUGGACCGGCAUUGACGCUGAGGAGCGAAAGCUAGGGGAGCAAACGGG